rnacentral:lncRNA from 1 species
GCUGAUUAGACUUUUGUAGUUAAAUGCAAUUAGUUUUGCUAUGUGCUUCAUCAUAAAUCCAGGUUUUUGGAAUCCUUCAUUAUGCAGAGGCAGUCAUGUCUUAUUGCUUAGGAGAAAAAUGAAUUGUCAACUUUAUACUGAAGAAAAUGAUUAGAGAUUAUGUGUCUGGAGGGGAAAAGCAAUUCUUAUUCAAAAGUUAAAUAAUAACUUCAGAUCUUGCAAAAAUAUUGAAUGUUUGGAGUCAGGUAAUUAAAGAAAAAAGAUUGCAUGUGUGUAAGUUCCCAGAUGCAAUGGAAAUAGGCAAAGCAUAUGUCAUUAAAUACACGGUACUUUAUUAGUCUUGACUAGGUAAGCGGAGCAAAGGAAGAAAGAACUUGCUGAUAUAUUUUGUCCAAUUUAUUAACUCCUGGAAAACGGCACUCAGUCUAUUGCAAGAAAAGCCUUUGCUGAUGAGCAUGACCAGAAUUUGCAUACUUUCUUGUUUACAUAACACUUAUUCUUUACUAGUGGGCAUAUUUGCUUAUAAGCUGUUAAGCAGGGUAUUGGAAGGCCUCUAUGGAACUUCACUUAUCAGUGAUAUUUUGCUUAACCUAACUACAUGCCAGGUAUGUAGUUCAGUGACACUUAAGGACAAAGGUGGAGUCACUCCCCAAACUUAACAUCAAAACAACUCUCUAAGAAGCAAGCCUGUGGACAUAAGAAACCUCAAAUUGAUUUGUUAUUUUGAAAAGUCACUUGCUUCACUGAAAUUUGGGAACACAGGGAAGAUUCCCCAACUAUGGGAUGCCUAAAGCAAUACUGACGCAGCAUCUUUCCUUUGGAGCCACAGUAAAAAUACAGUCUUCUGUCUGAUCCAUGGAAUGAAAACAACUCAAAGGCAAGAGGAAGUAUACACAGCUCAGGGCACACCCAGGGGCCUGGGCUCCCUGUUCUUCCCAGCUCAGGCACUAGUUUAGCUGCUUCACAAUGGGUUUGGCAGUUGAAGCACCAUGGCCAACAGGGUCCAGGGACAGGGAGAAACAGGACCGACAUAGUGAGAAACAGGACUGAGAUAGGGAGAAACAGAACCGGGACACUGAGGGGCAUGAGUAUCUGGAGCUGAUCUUAGAUGAGUCUCCCCCACAAGAAAAGAAAAGAGAGCUAAGGUGGAAAACAGGAGGAGAUAGCGGGCCAGGG